rnacentral:rRNA from 1 species
UGACAGUACUCCUACGGGGAGGCAGCAGUGGGGGAAUAUUGCACAAUGGGCGCAAGCCUGAUGCAGCCAUGCCGCGUGUAUGAAGAAGGCCUUCGGGUUGUAAAGUACUUUCAGCAGUGAGGAAGGUUCAUACGUUAAUAGCGUAUGGAUUUGACGUUAGCUGCAGAAGAAGCACCGGCUAACUCCGUGCCAGCAGCCGCGGUAAUACGGAGGGUGCGAGCGUUAAUCGGAAUUACUGGGCGUAAAGCGCAUGCAGGUGGUUUGUUAAGUCAGAUGUGAAAGACCCGGGGCUCAACCUCGGAAUAGCAUUUGAAACUGGCAGACUAGAGUACUGUAGAGGGGGGUAGGAAUUUCAGGUGUAGCGGUGAAAUGCGUAGAGAUCUGAAGGAAUACCGGUGGCGAAGGCGGCCCCCUGGACAGAUACUGACACUCAGAUGCGAAAGCGUGGGGAGCAAACAGGAUUAGAUACCCUGGUAG